CUCAUGCUAGUUUUAGAGAAAAAAGCUGUGGAAAACUCAGCCAGAAGCUAGAAAGUGUCAAGUGAACCCACAACAUCACCACAAAUGUAUUUUCAAGCAAGCAGGGUGAAAAUAUAUUUGGACAUUUUUAUGGAUAACUGUCACGGAUAUCAUCCUCUUCGUCUGAAGAGGAGUAGCAAGGAUCGGACCAAUACGCAGUGUGAGUGGAGAGGAGGAAGACUGGAGUGGAAGAAGAGUGAAAGAGAUAGGAGGAAAGGUAAAGAUAUGAUUACAGAGCCUGCCAAUUUAUUAUUACAAUGUUUUUGAGAUAAAAAAUUAGGCAAGCAAUGGGAAUCUGUUAACCAAAGUAUUUUAUCUAAUAGUGUACUAUUUAUAAUUAAAGAUUGGAGAGGAAGGAGAAGGAAAAAUUAAGGGAGUAAAAUAAUGAAGUGAGGAGAGUGUGGAAGAGUGAGGUGAAAAGGCAAAGGGAAGGAAAGGAAGAAAAAGCAGGAAGAUGAGUGAAGAAAAGAGAAGAAAAAAUUAAGAGAGUAAGAAGAGUGACACAAGGAGAGUGAAGACGAACAGACAGAGGAGGUACAAUGGCUCAUUCCAAGAAACGGAAAUGCCAUUUUGAUGACAACAUGAUGAGAGAAUUUCCAUUUAUACACGCCGGUCAAGACGAUAGAAUGGUUAACUGCACCCUUUGUAAUUCCUCUUUUUCAAUUGGCAGCGGGGGAAGAACGGCAGCGGUAGAACAUCAACAGAAGAAAAAGCAUAAAGCCUCUCUGAUUGCCCGUGUUGGUAUGCCCUCUGCCACCACAUUCUUCAAGAAGGUAGAGCCUUCCCAAGAAGAAUAUUAGCUGUGCAGGAGGGUGUCUUUGCAUACCACACUAUGCGACACAAUCAUAGUUACAGAUCUAUGGGCUGCGAAGCACAACUGACAUGGAAGCUUGAUAAGCUGAAGUUUACAUGUGCUAGGACAAAAUGUGAAGCCAUAGUGAGUAACGUGUUAGUACCAUGGGCAACUACUUUGGUAACAGAGGACCUAGACCAGGUUGAAUUUGUGUCCCUGUCCAUUGAUGCGUCCAAUGAUGGACAUGUAAAGCUGCUGCCAAUAGUAGUCAGAUAUUGUAAAAUAUAUGAUGGCAGCACAUCUGUGGAAACAAAACUGCAUGAUUUUGUUGAAUUGAAAGGAGAAACAGCAGAGGAGAUUGCAGCUGAGGUCCUGGUGGUCUUCCAAAAAUGUAACCUGGAAAACAAAGUCGUGGCAUUCUCUGCCGACAACACAAAUACCAAUUGGUGGACUGAAUAGGCUGGGGAGGGUCAAUGUCCAUACCAAAGUUAAAAAUGCUCUGCAGUGGGAUGGCCAAAACAGACCAAACAUGGUCAAAACAGCUUUGGAUAUGAUUCCCCUUGAUGUUGAGUACCUGCUCACAAAGAUAUUUGGAUAUUUUCAUAUUUUCACCGUCAGAGUAGAAAGACUGAAGUGCUUUCGUAAGUUUGUUGGCCAGGAGUACCAUAACAUUUUAGGACACAGCAAUGUUUACUGGCUGUCCAUGCUCCCUGCUCUAGAAAGAGUGCUGAAAAUGUAUGUGCCAUUGAAAUCCUUUUUUCUUCUGAAGACAAAUGCCUUGUUGUCCUGUGAACAAUGUUUGAAGAUCCACUGAUUGAACUUUGGCUGGCCUUUGUCCAUGGAAACCUGACCGUAUUCAGUGACAAGAUCAAGAUGCUUGAAGGCCAGGACUGCUGUUUUGUGGAGUCAUCUGAAAUUCUGAGAAACGUUGAGGCAAAAUUGACUACAAGGUGUGAAGACAACUUCAUUCCAGUUUUGGUCAGAGGACUUCUGAGAGCUAGAGGGAAAUGGAGCCAUGUCUAUAGAGAGCUUUCUCAAAACAUCCCAAUCAUUCUUCACUAUGGCUGUGAACUACUUGCAAGCAUGGAGAAAGCACACAUAUAAUCUAAAAUAUUUACAUGGUCUCCUUUUGAAAAGGCAACCUCAGUGUGAAGAGAUCCAGAAGGCAGCAGGCACACUGCAGGAAAAAUGCCCCAAUGUGACCAUCAAUAAGGUUUCAUUGUUUGACGAGGUUACUGGCCUGCAAGAGUUCCUAAAGGGGGGAUCGUUUGAAGAAUGGAAAACAUCUGAGACAGUAGUCAGAGAUGGAGCACAGUGGUUACCCACUUCCAAGAGAACGACAUCCCACACACUAACCUGGCUAGAUUAGCAUCUGUUGUUAUGUGCUUACCUGGAAGUAAUGCACCAGUCGAGAGAGUGUUCUCUCAAAUGAAUUAUGUAUGGACAGCAGCAAGAAAUAGGUUCACUGUUCCUACCAUCAAGGCCAUGCUUAUUGUGAAGACAAACUUCAACCUCCCCUGCCAGGAGUUCAUGGACAAGCCUUCCAAAGACAGAGCAAUCCUGAAGAAGAUACAUUCUUCUGAGAAAUAUACAGAUUAGAUUGGUAUACGUAUAUUAUGUAGUUACCAAUCACAUCAUCGUCUUAUUUCUUUAUUAUGUUGUUAAGUAUUUCACAUAUACUAUUGUCUGUUUUUUUCAGUUUUGCUCAUGUUCUCUUCUGCUCUUAGUCUACCCAGACUACCAGGACCACUGAAUGGCUGUUCAGAUCAGUUCUACCCAGACUACCAGGACCACUGAAUGGCUGUUCAGAUCAGUUCUACCCAGACUACCAGCACCACUGAAUGGCUGUUCAGAUUGGACAGUUCUGUCUCGUCUGUAGUGUUUCUGUAAUAUAGUUGUUUUCUCUAUCACAGUGUGCCUGUUAGACUAAAUACAUGUAACCAGAAUUGUCCCCCUUUAUUAUUUCAUACAUAAUAACAUUGGAUAUUUUAAUGAUAUAUUUACCGCCGAAUGGGCAAGACCGUGUCUUUGAAUGGAGUAUGGUAGUAUGUGCCAGGUGCCACGGGUUGUGUCAAGAACUGCAACGCUGCUGGAUUUUUCACCCUCAACAGUUUUCUGUGUGUAUCAAGAAUGGUCCACCACCCAAAGGACAUCCAGCCAAAUUGACACAACUGUAGGAACAAUGGAGUCAACAUGGGCCAGCAUCCGUGUGGAAUGCUUUUGACACCUUGUAGAGUUCAUGCCCCGACAAAUUGAGGUUGUUCUAAGGAAAAAUAGGGGGGUGCAGGGUGCAUCUCAAUAUUAGGCAAGCAACACUGAGGCAUGCAUGAGAGCAUCAGCUGUUCCGCACGACUGUGUGAUCACGCUCUCCGU